AAUCAACGCUGGCGGCGUGCCUAACACAUGCAAGUCGAACGCGAAGGUCCCGCAAGGGAUUGGUAGCGUGGCAAACGGGUGAGCAACACGUGGGUGACCUGCCUUCGAGUGGGGGAUAACGUCCCGAAAGGGACGCUAAUACCGCAUGACAUCCUGCCUUUGAAGAGGCGGAGAUCAAAGCCGGGGAUCGCAAGACCUGGCGCUUGAAGAGGGGCCCGCGCCUGAUUAGCUAGUUGGUGGGGUAAUGGCUCACCAAGGCAACGAUCAGUAUCCGGCCUGAGAGGGCGGACGGACACACUGGGACUGAGACACGGCCCAGACUCCUACGGGAGGCAGCAGUGGGGAAUUGUUCGCAAUGGGCGCAAGCCUGACGACGCAACGCCGCGUGGAGGACGAAGACCUU
rnacentral:rRNA from 1 species